rnacentral:misc_RNA from 1 species
GAUGAAGAACGCAGCGAAAUGCGAUAAGUAAUGUGAAUUGCAGAAUUCAGUGAAUCAUCGAAUCUUUGAACGCACAUUGCGCCCGCCAGUAUUCUGGCGGGCAUGCCUGUUCGAGCGUCAUUACAACCCUCAGGCCCCCGGGCCUGGCGUUGGGGAUCGGCGGAGCCCCCCGUGGGCACACGCCGUCCCCCAAAUGCAGUGGCGGUCCCGCCGCAGCUUCCAUCGCGUAGUAGCUAACACCUCGCGACUGGAGAGCGGCGCGGCCACGCCGUAAAACACCCAACUCUUCUGAAGUUGACCUCGGAUCAGGUAGGGAUACCCGCUGAACUUAAGCAUAUCAAUAAGCGGAGGA